rnacentral:rRNA from 1 species
GACGAACGCUGGCGGCGUGCUUAAUACAUGCAAGUCGAACGAAAAGGCGCUGCGCUUGUUGGGUGCUCGUGUGGCGAACGCGGGUGUAACACAUGAGUAAACUGCCCUUGACUUUGGGAUAACUUCAGGAAACUGGGGCUAAUACAGCAUAGAAGCUCCUGCUGCACGGUGUUGGAUGGAAAGUUUCGGCGGUUGGGGAUGGACUCGCGGCUUAUCAGCUUGUUGGUGGGGUAGUGGCGUACCAAGCCUUUGACGGGUAGCCGGCCUGAGAGGGUGACCGGGCACAUUGGGACUGAGAUACGGCCCAGACGCCUACGGGAGGCAGCAGUGGGGAAUAUUGCACAAUGGGCGGAAGCCUGAUGCAGCAACGCCGCGUGCGGGAUGACGGCCUUCGGGUUGUAAACCGCUUUCGCCUGUGACGAAGCGUGAGUGACGGUAAUGGGUAAAGAAGCACCGGCUAACUACGUG